rnacentral:rRNA from 1 species
CCUACGGGUGGCAGCAGUGGGGAAUAUUGCGCAAUGGGCGAAAGCCUGACGCAGCGACGCCGCGUGAGGGAUGAAGGUCUUCGGAUCGUACACCUCUGUCAGCAGGGACGAACGGUCACUGUGCUAAUCAGCAGUGAAUUGCCGGUACCUGCAACGGAAGCCCCGGCUAACUCAGUGCCAGCAGCCGCGGUAAUCCGGAGGGUGCGAGCGUUAAUCGGAAUUACUGGGCGUAAAGCGCUCGUAGGCGGUAUGUCAAUUCAAGGGUGAAAUCCCCGCGCUCAACGUGGGAACUGCCUUUGAAACUGGCAAACUGGAGGUUGUGAGAGGAUAGUGGAAUUCCAGGUGUAGGAGUGAAAUCCGUAGAUAUCUGGAGGAACAUCAGUGGCGAAGGCGACUAUCUGGCACAUAACUGACGCUGAGGAGCGAAAGCGUGGGUAGCAAACAGGAUUAGAUACCCCUGUAGUC